GCGGCGGCCCCCGGCGGCCCCCGGCCCUCGCCGCGGCGGCCCGGCGGACGAGGCUCUCUGAGGCGCUGGUUCCCGGAGCGGGGAGACGAGCCCCGCCGCGGGCGCGAAGGAGUCUGCAUAAGGAAGACUGUCAUGCCUGUCCUGAGAGGUGCAUGCCUUUAUUGGUCAUCUCAGCAGAGAAAUGCCUGCCAGCCGAAGUCUGUGUGCCUGGGGGCAGAGGUGAAGCAGAGGAAAAGCUGGCACUGCAGCAGCAGCCCUGCCAUGGAAUCAUUCAGAAGCCUUUGCUCUAGGAGGAUGCUUCACUUCUGUAAAACUGCCAACAAGUCAUAGCAAUGUCCCUCUGAGUCAAGUUCAUGGCUUGCUUCAGUGCUGCCUACCUCUCAAGCAUCCUGCUUAACCUCACAGCUGGCCUCCACUACACAACUGCUCAUGUGUGGAGUUACUCAGCAAAGCACUCACCAAAUGGUUCAUGGUCUGUGAUGGAUGAAGGGCUCCUACGGAAGCGGAACUGCCUUGCAGGAGCUGUCUGUUUCCUGCACCCUCUGCCUGUGUCCCAGACUACCCCUGCUCCUGCUCUCGAGCAGGGAGGACCCAGAUGUUCAGGUUUCAGUUGUGCCACAUCCUGGCGAGCACCGUGACUGGCAGGAAAGCUAUGGGUUUCUGUCAACUGUGCAUCCACCACUGUGCCUUGGAGAGCUGAUAACCACCUCCAACCUGGAGAAGUGAGGGAAGCCCCUAUGCAUGUGGUGCUACCUCGCCAUCUGGAGGAAAUCAGAAUAUGAACAAUCUUUCAUCUUCUUUGGACAAUACAUUCAGACCCAUCUUUUUUCUUUCCUGUUCGCCAAAGCUAAGUCCGUUUUUCCUUCGUUACCAUUUUCAGCGGGUGUUCAGACCGUCCAGGGCCGGGGCCCCUGCGUGGAAGGCGGCCAGGCCCAGGCAGCACGGUGCAGCUGCCGGCGAGCUCCACCACGAGGUGCGUGCUGUGCCGCCCGGGACCCCCGCUGCGUUUGCCUGCGGCUCGCCAUGGGGAACUGCCCGGCACGUCCCCAUGCUGCUGAGUGGGGACUCCGUGUCAGCUGCACUGUGCAGCUUCUGGCCCUGUCUCAGGCACCAGAAAUAUUCUACAUUAGCAAGUUUCUCAGUAUUUUUAAUUUUGAGGAACACCUGGGACUGCACUGUGCCAGUAGCAGAGGAGUUUAUGGAGUGCAUCUAUACAACCCCAUUUGCCAUUCUUGUUCCUGUUAAUGAAGUCUGCUUAAGCCUUAUAGACAAAAAUCCAUCAACUCGGGGAGGUAUUACCCAGGACACGGCCUGUGAGUACCCCAUAAUAUUCUUUCCAGAAAGAGGAUGACCAGAACACAAAGCCAUGCAAGCUGGCAGUGGUAGAAAAAUGGGACAGGGUCAGAAGAGCUUCUGGAGAGCUUGUGGAGCAUUGUCCAACACUGAAUCCUAUCUGCUGUGCUCUUGAAGCUGAGGCUUAUGCAGCAGAAGGUUACUUUCUAAUACAGACAAAUUUAAGUUCAUGAUGGAUUACAGAGCAGUGAAAUAAGAGCCUAUUUCAACUGGUGUUUGCAGCUGGGAGAAGAGUAAAAAUAGCCUUCGUGGAUGGAGAUACAUAUCCAGAAAGAAAAAGAUGUUUUUAUGCCCAUGUGUUUCUUUUGAUUUUUUUUUUUUCAGGUUUUCUUUUUGUGCUGCUUGGGAAGUCUGUCUUCCCUUCCCCAGUCCUAUGGACGGCCAGUCCAAAGAAGGAAUUUGACGUAUGGUGCUAGCUGCUGUCUGCACCAGCGUUAAUCUGUUCCUCUUAUUCAUAAGUGCAUUCAUCACAUGGAAGUGACCGUUACAGAAAAUAUUGAUCAAACUCUGACUGUUCCCUGGCUGGACUGAACCUGAGUGUUAUAGCCUGCGCUGGCUGUGACUCGCAUCCCGGAGCAUGGUAGCGAGGGUGGCCUGCGCCUGUUCAGAGGAAACGGCUCCUAGUAUCGAGCGUGGAGGGUCUGGGAUGUUUAUAAUUCACUAACAGACUCCACUACAUUCAGGGCCAGGCACCCCCGAGGGCAUUCGGAUCUGUGUUCUGGCCAGCAAGAACACUCUGGCAUAUUCUACUUUAGACCUGAAACUUGGUCUUGGAGCUCCCAGCACAGCCACAGUCUGUGCACUGGAACACACUUGUCUCUGUAUUAAAGAAAAAUACAAUAAUAACAACUCCUUGUGGCAGCUGCAGAAAUAUAUGCUGUUUUGACAGCACCUUAUUUCAGCGCAGAGCUCUGAAAGGCUUGUGUGAAGAUGACUUGCAGGCAGCUUCACGGUGGGAAUGCUGAGGCACAAUGAAAACAUGUGAGUCACCCAUUUAAAUCACAGCAUUUUCUAGUGCCAGGACCUGUCUCUGCUCCUGGCCCUCUGUUACUGCCUGUGGCCUCGGUAGGGUGUUUUUCAGGCAUUUAUCUACCAAGGAAAUGAUGGCUGGAGACUCCUGGCCCUUUCACACCCUCAGCAACGUGCAAGAGGUCCCAGCUGCUCUCUUGCUGCAGAACAUCUGUGCAGUCAGCUGCAUCCUGGCUGGGACAGUGCUUGGCUCCAGGUCCCUAUCACAUCCGGAGGAGUCCUGGGUGCUGGGACAAGGGCCGUGGUGUGUGCAGCAACAAUCGUGUUUUUCUUCCCCAGCCUCUCAGUGCUAUGUCCUUCUUUCUGCUUUCAUUUUUGCUGUGGGGAGAGGCAGACUGCCCAGGCAGUGCGUGCAGGUGCCAAAGCACAUGGGAGCUUUCGGGGCCAUCACUGACACGAGGUGUCCGGCUGCACUCACUGCCGUCGCUGCUGGACCCUGGAGGUGUUAGCCAGGGGCAGGUACAGUGGCUGUGAGCACUAAGAGCCUGCUCUUUUUCUGCACAGAGUGGCAUACUGUCCAGUACAAAUUCACAAGAAGACCUGUACUCUGCUAGUACAUUAAAAUUUAAUUAAGCAGUAAACGCUUCUCGGUUCCAAGCCCUGAGGCUGAGGAAAGCCAGAAUGUCUUUUGGUUUCUUAAUGGGACAACUGUCCCCUCCAAUAGGUUGUAAAUGUUUUUAGUGACAUUGGGCAAAAACCUGCCAUUUGUUUUACGGUGGUGUAAUUACUGACAUGCCCAAUUCUCGUCUGCAUUGCCUCUUAAUGCACCAGGCACAAGAAGAGCUUUUUCUGGGACCAGCUGGGUGAGAAGUUAAGGAAAGGCUGCCAAACGUAACCCUUCUCCGCAGGUCUUGGGAGCCCCAAGCAGUGCUAGUAGGUGGGCCUUCACCUGAGUGCCUGUUCUGGGGGCAGUGAAGGAGAUGCUGAUGCUCAGAGCUGGACCUCGGGCAGCAGCCCCUGCUCCCGGCUGCAGCUCCCAUCCUGCACCCUCCUCCCAUCUUGUACAGGAGCCUGGGCUGCACAUCUGCUUUUACACUGACAAUUAUUUACUUGCUCUUCACACCGUGGCGGGAACUUGCAGCUUCAAUGGGCAUGGAUUUUUCUAUCUUGGCCACUGUAUACCCACUCUAAAAUUAAAUACAGUCCCUUUCCCAGAAAGCUCAAAGCCUAAAACAAAUCAUAAUGCAAAACACGAGGCUCCUGUGAUGUGGAGAGCACGGUUCUGCCAGAGAGUCACAGCUGAGAUUUCCCUCCUGCUGUAGCUCAGACAUAAAGCAUCUACUUCCCAUUCUCCCUUGUGAGAGCUAAGCUCUGCUAUUGAAUCUUCUUACCUGAAGAGAUGUUUGUAAAUUCUGGGUAUUGACUCUGAAAAUGCAGUUCCUCUUUGCAAUUUAAAUUUAAAGAGAUUCUUAAGCACUGAGAAAGCUCCCAGUUAUUUAAAACCCUUUCAGGCUGAAGUAUCUUCAUGGGGCAUUUUUUGUGUUCUUGGUGUCCCUUUGGGUGAAGGCAGGGGAGGAUUGUGCAAAACCCUUCCAUGGGAACCUAGGGGAUGUAUACUGCAAGCAACUUAUUAAAACACAUUUCCAAUACCAAAGAGCUAGUCUUAAUUACUCCAUGGCAACCUGCUGCUUCACGCAUCAUUUCUUCCAGCCGG